UAAAAAAAGGUAAGCUACUAAGAGCGAAUGGUGGAUGCCUUGACUGGUAAAGGCGAUGAAGGACGUACUAGACUGCGAUAAGCUACGGGGAGCUGUCAAGAAGCUUUGAUCCGUAGAUUUCCGAAUGGGGCAACCCAAUGUAUAGAGAUAUACAUUACCUAUAUAGGAGCGAACGAGGGGAAUUGAAACAUCUUAGUACCCUCAGGAAAAGAAAUCAAUAGAGAUUGCGUCAGUAGCGGCGAGCGAAAGCGCAAGAGGGCAAACCCAGUGCUUGCACUGGGGGUUGUAGGACUGCAAUGUGCAAGAGGUAAGUUUAGCAGAACAUUCUGGAAAGUAUAACCAUAGAGGGUGAUAGUCCCGUAUGCGAAAAACAAACCUUAGCUAGCAGUAUCCUGAGUAGGGCGGGACACGAGGAAUCCUGUCUGAAUCCGGGUCGACCACGAUCCAACCCUAAAUACUAAUACCAGAUCGAUAGUGCACAAGUACCGUGAGGGAAAGGUGAAAAGAACUGAGGUGAUCAGAGUGAAAUAGAACCUGAAACCAUUUGCUUACAAUCAUUCAGAGCCCUAUGUAGCAAUACAGGGUGAUGGACUGCCUUUUGCAUAAUGAGCCUGCGAGUUGUGGUGUCUGGCAAGGUUAAGCAAACGCGAAGCCGUAGCGAAAGCGAGUCUGAAUAGGGCGCUUAGUCAGAUGCUGCAGACCCGAAACGAAGUGAUCUAUCCAUGAGCAAGUUGAAGCUAGUGUAAGAACUAGUGGAGGACUGAACCCAUAGGCGUUGAAAAGCCCCGGGAUGACUUGUGGAUAGGGGUGAAAGGCCAAUCAAACUUCGUGAUAGCUGGUUCUCUCCGAAAUAUAUUUAGGUAUAGCGUUGUGUCGUAAUAUAAGGGGGUAGAGCACUGAAUGGGCUAGGGCAUACACCAAUGUACCAAACCCUAUCAAACUCCGAAUACCUUAUAUGUAAUCACAGCAGUCAGGCGGCGAGUGAUAAAAUCCGUCGUCAAGAGGGAAACAACCCAGACUACCAGCUAAGGUCCCUAAGUCUUACUUAAGUGGAAAACGAUGUGAAGUUACUUAAACAACCAGGAGGUUGGCUUAGAAGCAGCCAUCCUUUAAAGAAAGCGUAAUAGCUCACUGGUCUAGUGAUUUUGCGCGGAAAAUAUAACGGGGCUAAAGUAAGUACCGAAGCUGUAGACUUGCACACAACUUAGAUUAUUUAAGUUUAGAAUAUGAGAAACUAAGUUAUAUGUUUAGUUAUAUUUUUACUGAUUUUUAUAGAGUAAAGAUAGAAAUAAAACUUAGUAAAAUCAGUAAAAAUAUUCUUAGGCUAAAGUUAAGUAGUUUAAGUUGUGUGCAAGUGGUAGGAGAGCGUUCUAUUUGCGUCGAAGGUAUACCGGUAAGGAGUGCUGGAGCGAAUAGAAGUGAGCAUGCAGGCAUGAGUAGCGAUAAUUAAUGUGAGAAUCAUUAACGCCGUAAACCCAAGGUUUCCUACGCGAUGCUCGUCAUCGUAGGGUUAGUCGGGUCCUAAGUCGAGUCCGAAAGGGGUAGACGAUGGCAAAUUGGUUAAUAUUCCAAUACCAACAUUAGUGUGCGAUGGAAGGACGCUUAGGGCUAAGGGGGCUAGCGGAUGGAAGUGCUAGUCUAAGGUCGUAGGAGGUUAUACAGGCAAAUCCGUAUAACAAUACUCCGAGAACUGAAAGGCUUUUUGAAGUCUUCGGAUGGAUAGAAGAACCCCUGAUGCCGUCGAGCCAAGAAAAGUUUCUAAGUUUAGCUAAUGUUGCCCGUACCGUAAACCGACACAGGUGGGUGGGAUGAGUAUUCUAAGGCGCGUGGAAGAACUCUCUUUAAGGAACUCUGCAAAAUAGCACCGUAUCUUCGGUAUAAGGUGUGGUUAGCUUCGUACUAGGAUUUACUCCGAAAGCGAAGAAACUUACAACAAAGAGUCCCUCCCGACUGUUUACCAAAAACACAGCACUCUGCUAACUCGUAAGAGGAUGUAUAGGGUGUGACGCCUGCCCGGUGCUCGAAGGUUAAUUGAUGGGGUUAGCAUUAGCGAAGCUCUUGAUCGAAGCCCGAGUAAACGGCGGCCGUAACUAUAACGGUCCUAAGGUAGCGAAAUUCCUUGUCGGUUAAAUACCGACCUGCAUGAAUGGCGUAACGAGAUGGGAGCUGUCUCAAAGAGGGAUCCAGUGAAAUUGUAGUGGAGGUGAAAAUUCCUCCUACCCGCGGCAAGACGGAAAGACCCCGUGGACCUUUACUACAGCUUGACACUGCUACUUGGAUAAGAAUGUGCAGGAUAGGUGGGAGGCUUUGAGUAUAUGACGCCAGUUGUAUAUGAGCCAUUGUUGAGAUACCACUCUUUCUUAUUUGGGUAGCUAACCAGCUUGAGUUAUCCUCAAGUGGGACAAUGUCUGGUGGGUAGUUUGACUGGGGCGGUCGCCUCCCAAAUAAUAACGGAGGCUUACAAAGGUUGGCUCAGAACGGUUGGAAAUCGUUCGUAGAGUAUAAAGGUAUAAGCCAGCUUAACUGCAAGACAUACAAGUCAAGCAGAGACGAAAGUCGGUCUUAGUGAUCCGGUGGUUCUGUGUGGAAGGGCCAUCGCUCAAAGGAUAAAAGGUACCCCGGGGAUAACAGGCUGAUCUCCCCCAAGAGCUCACAUCGACGGGGAGGUUUGGCACCUCGAUGUCGGCUCAUCGCAUCCUGGGGCUGGAGCAGGUCCCAAGGGUAUGGCUGUUCGCCAUUUAAAGCGGUACGCGAGCUGGGUUCAGAACGUCGUGAGACAGUUCGGUCCCUAUCUGCCGUGGGCGUAAGAAGAUUGAAGAGAUUUGACCCUAGUACGAGAGGACCGGGUUGAACAAACCACUGGUGUAGCUGUUGUUCUGCCAAGAGCAUCGCAGCGUAGCUAAGUUUGGAAAGGAUAAACGCUGAAAGCAUCUAAGCGUGAAGCCAACUCUAAGAUGAAUCUUCUCUAAGCUCUCUAGAAGACUACUAGUUUGAUAGGCUGGGUGUGUAAUGGAUGAAAGUCCUUUAGCUGACCAGUACUAAUAGAGCGUUUGGCUUAUCUUUAAUAAAGCAU
rnacentral:rRNA from 1 species